rnacentral:rRNA from 1 species
AUUGAACGCUGGCGGCAGGCCUAACACAUGCAAGUCGAGCGAGCGGCGGACGGGUGAGUAAUGCCUGGGAAUUGCCCAGUCGAGGGGGAUAACAGUUGGCAACGACUGCUAAUACCUCAUACGAUUGGAUUGCCCAGGUGGGAUUAGCUAGUUGGUGAGGUAAUGGGUCACCAAGGCGACGAUCCCUAGCGGGUCUGAGAGGAUGAUCAGCCACACUGGAACUGAGACACGGUCCAGACUCCUACGGGAGGCAGCAGUGGGGAAGAUUGGGCAAUGGAGGAAAGUCUGAUGGAGCCAUGCCGCGUGAGUGAAGAAGGCCUUCGGGUUGUAAAGCUCUUUCAGCGGGGAGGCGUUACUCGCAGAAGAAGCACCGGCUAACUCCGUGCCAGCAGCCGCGGUAAUUC